AUACGGAGGAUCCGAGCGUUAUCCGGAUUUAUUGGGUUUAAAGGGUGCGCAGGCGGCCAUUUAAGUCCGCGGUUAAAUCGUGGGGCUCAACCCCAUUCUGCCGUUGAUACUGGGUGGCUUGAUUGCGGUCGAGGUUGACGGAAUUAGCUGUGUAGCGGGGAAAUGCAUAGAUAUGACGAAGAACACCGAUUGCGUAGGCAGCUGACCAGACCGCAAAUGACGCUCAUGCACGAAAGUGCGGGGAUCGAACAGGAUUAGAUACCCUGGUAGUCCGCACAGUAAACGAUGAAUACUUGUUUUCGGCGAUAUAAUGUCGGAGGCAAAGCGAAAGCGAUAAGUAUUCCACCUGGGGAGUACGCCGGCAACGGUGAAACUCAAAUGAAUUGACGGGG
rnacentral:rRNA from 1 species